AGCGGGAAGAGCGAUGUCAUGAAUAUCUGGAAGGAAGACAGAGGAAUACUGUGUCACCUGAGGAACAGCAAGCAAGAAACACACCUGGAGCAGAACGCUGCAGUAAGACAAUCCAUCACAGUGAAGGGGAUACUGAGGAACUGCUGAAAGUUAAAUUCACAGGAAUUCAGCCAUAGAACAGGCCUGGGCACAAAGGGCCGGUGUGGCAGCAGGUUUCCUUUCCAACCAAGCAGCAGCAGCAUGCCAGACAACAGACAUCAGGCUUGUUUAACAAGUGGCCAGAGUUUGUCUCUCCGCGUAGGUGAGGUCUUCUGCCAUCCGUAGAUUCUUUUUCUUCAUCACGUCGGAGUUGAGGGAAGCUCUCCAUGGUAAAUUGCAUGAUUUAUUUUCAACUGUGUGGACGGUAUCCACCAGGAAUCCAAGUUUGCUCUUUUCCUCUGGGAAAUUAAUUAAUCUGGGCGAUUAUUUCCAUCACCUCUCUUCUCACAUCUUCGUUGCUGUGCUCCGGGAGAUUUAGAAGAUGGAGGUUCCACUGCCGGCUGUACCUCUGCGCCUCCUCUUGUCUCUCCUGGAGUACAGUCAUCCGCUCCUUCAAUUUCUUUACAGUGUCAUCUGUCUCCUUAAACUGCAUCCCGAGGUCUUUCACAUGUUCCUUCGUUUCUUCUUCAGACAGGUUUCUGAGCCAUUUACACGAGAAGUGAACUCCUCGCCAUCCAAUCACAGAAAAAUGCAAUACCACUUCUAUGUAGCAUAUACUGUUGAUGUACCAUCUCUCCUUCAACGCAACACUUCCACAGGUCAAUGACUCUUUGACUGUGUUUGAUACUGUUGGUAUGGAAACAGCCUCACUGCUUGGAUGUGACUCAUCCAUUGUUGGAGCCAUUGCUAUAAACAUGUGUUGGGUUGCUACGGAUGUGAGCUAUCCAAAGACCCCCCUCUCAAAGAGGCACAUUAACAAACAUAAACUUCAUCAGCUCCUAAUGAGUUUUUGACAUGUAGAUGUUUCAGCAGCUGGAAGCAUCUGUCAUGAGAUGCUUUUAUGUUGUUUUAUGCGUAAUUCCAAAAACAGGUUUUAACAAGCUUCUCGAGUGUCCACAAACUCAAACACAACUCGAUGGUUUUAGAAUGAAACUAAGGCAACCUGAACCAAAGCCCUGGACAAGUUUUCUCACGGGAAAUCUGCAUCUGAUCUAAUGAUGGAGGAGACCUCAAAAAAAUUUGGAGAGUGUUGAAUACACAUGCGGGAAAUUAAAGGGAUCAAUAUGCAGAUGAUUGCAUUGAUGAUGGGUUGGCUGUUCCUGUGUUGAGCAAGACAACAAAGCAGUAACUGGCCACCAUCAAUUGCCAAUUCGGCAAGUAAAAUACAAAUUGUCUGUCAUUCUAUCCAGUAGAUGUUGAGAUACAACUAUUUUACUGGAAAAGCAAAAAUUUUGACCUGCUUGUGGUUGUUAGAGGAAAUCAAAUUAGGAUAUCUACAGCAAAUUUUGUGGCAAUCCAUCCGAUAAUUGUUGAGAUAUUUUAGUCUGAACCAAAGUUCUGGAUCAACCAACAGUCCAACAUUGCAAAUGCUGGGAGCGCCAACUGGAACGCUCACAACGCAUCAGUUUGAGGUAAAAAGGGAGGGAAACACUGACUAUGCUGGAGGAUAAUCACUUGACCAGAUGGAGGAUGGAGGACCUCAAUGAGUCAGGACUUUGGGUUAACAUCUCAUAUCAUCUCAUCUCAAAGGAUGGCAUUGCAUACAGAAGAGUGUCCCUGUCACUAAGCAGAGAAAUUUGGAUUUGAGAGGCAAGACUGACUGGUUCUGGCCCACCAACAAGUCCAGCAGCAAGAGGUUUCCCAUUCGGGUGCUAGCCGAGCCUACAGCUUUAGUUAUUCAGCAGAAACAGGGUACAUAUUGAUAAUCUCAUGAAAACAGACCCAAACAAAUGUAAAUGAAGCUAGAUAUAUCACCUUCCUCAGUUACAGAGGGCUCCGACCAGCAUACAACAUCCUGCUGCCACAGACUAGAGCACCAGAUGUGGAUUCAUCCACCACUGAAAAUAGUCCCCAACAACAAACCGUAACCAGGUGUUUCAGGACAUUCUGAAAAAUUACAAAAAAGACACCACACCUUAGGUUCAAAUCUCACACCCAUGACAGUUUUCUAAAGAGAUGAUGACGCCACAGGGAAACUUAUCCAUCUAACUCAUCUGUUGUUGUUUUGUGAAUGUUCCUGCAGUUGCUCUCACACAAUGAAUUGCAGCUGAACACUAUCCAUCAGCACCACUUUGACAAGCCGGAGCGAGCGUCACAGUCUGGAGCUGAUGCACAGCUACGUUCUUGUUCACACACAACACAACAUGAUGUCAUUGUUAAUGACACCAUGAUGUCAUUGAAAGACCAUAGAGACAUAUGUUGGGAAUUACCUGAGCCCUUCCCAUACAAAGGAAAAACAAGUGGAGCUCAUCCAGCAGCAGCAUUGCUCAGAGACCGGGGUAAAUCUGAGAGCUGUUUCCUUUCAGAGCGUGGACUGCAAUCUGAUCACAGUGCAGGCAGAAUCAACAAACACUCAUUAAAACCAGAAGAUGAAGGGCCCGUCAACAGAUUUCAUCCGAACAAUGUGUCUGAAAUAAACAUGCACGGGUUAGCACGGUGUGGUCAGUACACGACGUUCCAAGCUAUUCAUUAAGGCUGAUAAAGAGUCAGACUCCUUUAAUGUAAUUGUAAUUGUUUUAUUAGUAAGCUCUCUUAACAUUUAUGGAGAUACUUAUUGGACUCAUUGAAGGACUUCAGACUUUUAUAACUACGCCGUAAACUCACCCCUCCGCUGACAGGGCCAUAGCUGUGUCCAGAUUUAUCAGGUUCCUCCAGAUACAACGUGUAGAAAUCUGGUCUGAAGGGG